GGGAUUCAGCGUGGGCAGGAUGAUUUGGCCCUCCACAUGAGCGACUCCCCCUCGUCCCUAGCGUGCGUGAAUUAGGAAUACCCCAGCCUUAGAAUCGGGUGGCUCCAUAAUUUGAAUUAUAGUCUGGAGAAGCAUCCUUAGUGGCAGACCGAGCCUAAGUCCCCAGAGUGUCAAAGAGUGCUUGAAAUUGUUGAUAGAGAAGCGGAUAGGGACCUACGAUACUCCCCAAUCGGAUAUGAAAUGGCGAUGAGCCGGUAUGCCGGUCGAUCGGGGCAUGGACCAGCAUAGAUUGAGGUCAUCUAAAGCCCGGGAUCUCGAUAAGCUCAUGGAAUACUGUCUCCUUGAUUAUGGCAGGUAGCGCGUGCCUCUAGCAUGCUUCUACAUUUGGUCUCUUUUGAUGCUGGCCUAUGGGCUCCUUAUUUUACCCAUCUUGAAACAUGGACCAUGGAGUCUGAUUUGUUUGUGAGUCAAUGGACGAGUAUACCCAUAAGGCACAAAGAAGUUGAUUGGUGGGAUCAUCCUUAUUGGAGUACUGGCGACCGACCUCGAUCUUCUGAGAAGGGUCUGAGUGGAAGAAUGCAUAUCGGGACCCAAAAGAUAGUGAAUUAUGCCUGAGUAGGAUGAAGAUAGAGGAAACUCUGGUGGAGGCCCCUACAAUACUAACAUGCAAAUCAUUCAUCGGACUAGGGAAUAGGGGAGAAAUACUAAUCCAGUCGUCUAGUAGUUCAUUCCCUCAAAAGUUUCCCUCAAGAUAGCUAAAGCUUGCGUGUGAGUUCUAUCAAUUAAAGCCAAUAAGUAUAGUCUUGAAAGACACAAUGCCAUAGACCUAUUGUCAAACGUGAAAUAGGUAGGACGACGCGACUUCUUUGUUCAGCCACGCCAUAGAGUAAGAAAAAAAUGGCGAUGUGUGAUGAACUAAAAUAUAGGUUACGGUGUCAAAUUAUGCACUAACAUAAAUCCCACAAACGUUGUUCGUUGAUAAGAUAGUAGGACAGUGGUCAUUUAAGUUAAAAUCCGCUAAGGAGUGCAUUAAAACUCACUUGUCAAAUCAACUAGCCCCUAAAAUGGAUUGAUAGUAAGAGCGCGACCUACCCCCGGCCAUCGAGGCAAGUGCCAGGCCCCAAUGAGUAGAAGGGAACAACAGUCACUGCAAAACCUUGAGCGUGAUCCUAGGUGGAACCAUCUUCAGUGCAGAUUUUGGUGGUAGUAGCAAAUAUUCAAAUGAGAACUCUGAAGGCUGAAGAUGGGAAAGAUUCCAUGUGAACAACACUUGAACAUGGGUUAGCCGGUCUAAGGGUUUGGGGAACCCUGACAGAUAGCGCAUUUCGCAUGUACUAUGAAAAAUAAUAAGGUUAAAAUUCUAGAACUAGGAUGUGGCGGUCAAAAACAUCAUUAAGAAGUCCUGAGUCUUCAAUGGGAGCCUAGGGAAGAGUUAUAUUUUUUGUUUAAUAGCCUUCCCACCCUAGAAUCAGCUCAUCCGGAGGUAGGGUCCAAUAGCUAGAAAAUCACCACGCAUCGUGUGGUCUCCGGUGCGCUCUCAGAUGCCCUUGAAAAUAUGGAAGAGAAAAUGUUAUCCAUGCCCAAUCGUACUAAUAACCAUUAAGGUCUCCAAGGAGAACAACCUCUAGUCGAUAGAAUAAUGUAGGUAAGGAAAGUCGACAAUCUAUGGAAUAUCUAUCGAUGGAAUGCUUAAGUUUCAUUCAUGAUGAGAGCGAGUCACCAUGUGCCAGUUGGGGGACACAUUGGGAACAAUUCCUUCAAGGGCCUUCCCCGUGCAUUGAAUAUCCAACUCAGAAUUGGUACAGACAAGGGAAAUCUGAUUAUUUAAUUACAAUAAAGCAUUGCAAUGGUCCCAAUGGAUGUUCACGCAAUGUGAUUUUUGUCCAGUACUCUGAAUGUUAAAGUGAAGAAAUUCAACCAAGCGCAGGUAAACGACUGGAGUAAAUAUGACUCUCUUAAGGUAGCUAAAUUCCUCAUCAUCUAACUAGUGACGUGCAUGAAUGGAUUUAUGAGAUUCCCACUGUCCCUAUCUACUAUCCAUCAAAACCAUAGCCAAGAGAAUAGUCUUUGAAGAAUCUGCAGGGAAAGAAAACUUUGUUGAGCUUGAGGCACUGCCCCUCUUUUUGGAUCCAAGGCUCGCUCUAUUGGCCGAUUGGAGCAGAAAACAUUGUCAGGUAGGGAGUUUUUCUGGUGUGGCACAUCUGUUAAAAGAUAACACAGGGUCCUAAGAUGAGCUCAAUUAGAAUAGAAAUCUCGUAUGGAACAGAAGAAUAAAAGCUUGUUUGAGUCUGAUUUCCAAUAUGAAUACGAACCGUGAAAGAAUGUCCUAACAAUCCUUUAGACCUUUGAAAUUUGAAGCUAGAGAAGUCAGAAAAGUUACAUAGGGAUAGCUAGCUUGUGGCACGCAAGCGUUCAUAGCGACCUUGGUUUUUGAUUGUUCGAUGUCAACUCUUCCUAUCAUUGUGAAGCAGAAUUCACCAAGUAUUUGAUUGUUCACCCACAGAUAGGGAAUGUGAUCUGGGUUUAAACCAUCAUAAGAUAGGUUAGUUUUACCCAACUUAUGACAGUGUCAUAAAAGUAAUUCAACCUAGUACGAGAGGAAUCAUUGAUUCACAUAAUUGGUUAUCGCGCUUAUAGUUGAAAAGCCAGUGGCGGAAAGAUCUUUUGUGCUGGAUUAUAACUAAAGACCUAUAAAUCAAAAUUUGCGCUAAAGCAAUGCAUGCGCCCUCCUUCCAUUUGGUGACCCACAGUAGGGGCACGUGUUAUAGUCUAAGCCAUCAUGGCAAAAGGUUUGUGGUGGCGUCCUUGCAAUACAAUUUUUACGGAGCUGCAAGAAAAAUCCUUUAGAGAUAACUUAAAUAUAAGACAGGGUAUUGUAAGUGGCAGAGUGGCCUUGAUACCAUGAUCCACUUAGAUUCAUCCCUUUGCCGCUCUGAUUCUU
rfam:Capsicum annuum cultivar Zunla-1 chromosome 6, whole genome shotgun sequence